GCCCUUAGAGUUUGAUCAUGGCUCAGAACGAACGCUGGCGGCAGGCCUAACACAUGCAAGUCGAGCGAGACCUUCGGGUCUAGCGGCGGACGGGUUAGUAACGCGUGGGAACGUGCCCUUCUCUACGGAAUAGUCCCGGGAAACUGGGUUUAAUACCGUAUACGCCCUUUUGGGGAAAGAUUUAUCGGAGAAGGAUCGGCCCGCGUUGGAUUAGGUAGUUGGUGGGGUAAUGGCCUACCAAGCCUACGAUCCAUAGCUGGUUUGAGAGGAUGAUCAGCAACACUGGGACUGAGACACGGCCCAGACUCCUACGGGAGGCAGCAGUGGGGAAUCUUCGGCAAUGGGCGCAAGCCUGACCGAGCCAUGCCGCGUGAGCGAUGAAGGCCUUAGGGUUGUAAAGCUCUUUCGCCAGGGAUGAUAAUGACAGUACCUGGUAAAGAAACCCCGGCUAACUCCGUGCCAGCAGCCGCGGUAAUACGGAGGGGGUUAGCGUUGUUCGGAAUUACUGGGCGUAAAGCGCGCGUAGGCGGAUUGG
rnacentral:rRNA from 1 species